rnacentral:piRNA from 1 species
UGUAACGGCACUGUAGAGAGCCCAUCCAG